rnacentral:rRNA from 1 species
AGUGAACGCUGGCGGCAGGCCUAACACAUGCAAGUCGAACGGCAGCACAGGAGAGCUUGCUCUCUGGGUGGCGAGUGGCGGACGGGUGAGGAAUACAUCGGAAUCUACCUUGUCGUGGGGGAUAACGUAGGGAAACUUACGCUAAUACCGCAUACGACCUUCGGGUGAAAGCAGGGGACCUUCGGGCCUUGCGCGAUUAGAUGAGCCGAUGUCGGAUUGGCUAGUUGGCGGGGUAAAGGCCCACCAAGGCGACGAUCCGUAGCUGGCCUGAGAGGAUGAUCAGCCACACUGGAACUGAGACACGGUCCAGACUCCUACGGGAGGCAGCAGUGGGGAAUAUUGGACAAUGGGCGCAAGCCUGAUCCAGCCAUGCCGCGUGGGUGAAGAAGGCCUUCGGGUUGUAAAGCCCUUUUGUUGGGAAAGAAAAGCAGUCGGCCAAUACCCGAUUGUUCUGACGGUACCCAAAGAAUAAGCACCGGCUAACUUCGUGCCAGCCGCCGCAGUAAUAC